rnacentral:rRNA from 1 species
UUAGAUUUUGUUUAUUAAUUUUAUUUAUUUUAAUUUUAAAUAUUAAAAAUAAUUAUAAUAUAGAAAGUUUUAGUAUUGUUUAAAGAAAAAAUAAAUUUAAUAAUAGUUUAAUAGUAUUGUAAAAGAAAAUUGAAAUAAUUUGAAAAAUUUUUAUUAUAAAAGAAAAUUUAAUUUAUUGUACCUUGUGUAUCAGUGUUUAUUAAAUAAAAAAUAUUUAAUUUAUUUUUCUCGAUUUUAAAAGAGUUAAUAUAGUAUAAAAGUUAAUGUAAUAAAAUUAUUUUAAAUAUUAUAUUAGAAAUGAAAUGUUAUUCGUUUUUAAAGGUAUCUAGUUUUUCAAGAAAUGAAUUAAAUUCAGAAAUUAUAAAUUUAUUUAAAAAUUUUUUUAAUUAAAUAAUUUAUAAUUUUAAUAUUUUAUGGGAUAAGCUAUAAAAUAAAUUUUUAAAAAUAAUAAAUAGAUUUAGUAAAUAUACGCUUAGAAUUAGCAAUUGUUUAUAAUUAUGUUAUAAUUUAUUUUAUAAAUAAAAUUAUUUAUUAAAUUUUAAAUAUUUAUUGAAAUAUUAAUUUUAAUUUUUUAAAUUAAUUAAUAAUGAUAAAAUUAGUAUAUUUAUAUUGUAAAAAUAAAUUUAAAUGAAAAGUUUAUAUAAAG